UAGGGAAUCUUCCACAAUGGACGAAAGUCUGAUGGAGCAACGCCGCGUGUGUGAUGAAGGGUUUCGGCUCGUAAACACUGUUGUAAGAGAAGAAUGACAUUGAGAGUAACUGUUCAAUGUGUGACGGUAUCUUACCAGAAAGGAACGGCUAAAUACGUGCCA
rnacentral:rRNA from 1 species